rnacentral:rRNA from 1 species
ACAAUGGGCGAAAGCCUGAUGCAGCAACGCCGCGUGAAGGAUGACUGCCCUAUGGGUUGUAAACUUCUUUUAUAUGGGAAUAAAGUUUUCCACGUGUGGAAUUUUGUAUGUACCAUAUGAAUAAGGAUCGGCUAACUCCGUGCCAGCAGCCGCGGUAAUACGGAGGAUCCGAGCGUUAUCCGGAUUUAUUGGGUUUAAAGGGAGCGUAGGUGGACAGUUAAGUCAGUUGUGAAAGUUUGCGGCUCAACCGUAAAAUUGCAGUUGAUACUGGCUGUCUUGAGUACAGUAGAGGUGGGCGGAAUUCGUGGUGUAGCGGUGAAAUGCUUAGAUAUCACGAAGAACUCCGAUUGCGAAGGCAGCUCACUGGACUGCAACUGACACUGAUGCUCGAAAGUGUGGGUAUCAAACAGG